ensembl:lncRNA
CGCAUCUCCACUGCAAUGCGCUUUGCUCCCCAUCUAUUACCUGGCCCCACAGGUGGGCACCCACAGCUGUAAUUCAUUGCGCCGUUCCUUGAAAUAUCUGGGGCUUGGUUGAAAGUGCAGAUACAUCUGUGCCUCUGCAGGAGCUUGUGCUUCUGAGGCUCUGUGGGGACAUGGGCCUGGCUGUCCCAUUUCCCACCCUGGUCCUGCUGGGAAGCAUCCUCCUGCUCUACCACUGCCUCUGGGCUCGUGGUGCAGUGCUGCUAGGGGGGAACAAACCAGCCCUGUCUGAUGGAUAGAGGUGACCCCCAAGGCUGUAGGGACAUGGCUGGGGCUGCUUUGCCCCCACUGAGUGAUGGAAGCUGCUGUCUUCUCCUCCUGUGCCUCCAGACACCUCCGGGCUGGCUGGCCUCCAGCAGAAAGGGGUUUUGUUGGAAAAUAACAGGGAGGUUUUGAAGCAGGGGCUUUUGGGAGGAGUAUCCACAUGCAAUUUGUCUGUUUGUUUUCUUAUUGUAAAACCAAAGACAUUUCAGUUUUCAGAAACUGAUAAUUAAACAUAAAAAAAUAUUUCCUUUACCAGAAGCCACGGCUUGAACGCUUUGGUCAGCCAGGUCCGCAGAGCGUGAAGAUCGGCAUCAUCGGGCUUCCUCCCCAGCACCCUCUUCUUCCUCUGCUCUCUGAAACGAGGGCUGCUGGCACCCUGGCUGUCCCUGGGAGGCCCCAGGCACUGGGCUGAAUGUGUUAACUUUGGCUUUUUACCACCACCCCUUUCCCCCCGCCAUCACUCCAGAUGCCUGCGCAUCUUGUUUACCCAGCAAAAUGUGCCGGUGGAGAAAAUCAACGGGGGCACUGUCACGUGGGCCAUGGUAAACAGCCAGCAGAUGCAUUAUGUUGAUUUUGUUCCGGAGCCCUUCCAGAAGGCACCAUCCUGCUGAUGGGCUGCGCGUGGGCACCACAUCCCCCUGCCAGUCCUGCCCAAGCAGCAUCCUUGGGUGCCAUUCGGCACCGAGCACCCCAGUGAUGCCAGCGAACCAUCCUGCCCUCCUGCGCCCCGUCCCCCAGGGACCCAGGUGGCUUUGUUUCCUUCAGGGCCGUGUCAGGACCAUGGGGAAUUUGGGAGAAGGCACAUGGCCAGCACUCUGUGGUGCCUGUACAGCCUGGCGUCAGGGGAUGUCUUUCCAGGAUCACAGACUUUGGGUGUCUAUCCUUGGGCUCUUGAUAAGGCCCAGCAGAAAUUACAGCGCAUCCCAGGGACCCUGCAAGCAUCCCCAGCAGCGGCAUCCCGACACGCGGCACUGAAACAAUGCUGACCUUAUCAGACUGGCAAUGCGGUGCUGCCGGCAAAAUGCCUUCACCCAGCGCCUGUGUGGCUGUGCCAGGAGAAGAAGCGGGGACGUGUUCAGCGCCACUGGCCUCGCCGCGACCAGCGCGUGAUGGAGGUGGCUGAGACUGCGGCAGCUGCUGGCCAGGCUUGGCUCUGGCCGCUGGCCUCCUGCCUCCAGAAAGGGAGCAAUGGCUCCUCCAGCCAUGGCUUCUAAUGCAAAUAAAAAUGUAAUUUAAAAAUUAAAUUUAAA